GCCUCUGUGGAUCAAUGUUAGAUCACCUCUCCCAAGUAUGAGGUUAGUAUGUUUGCAGGAGGAGAUGUGGGUUCGAAUCCCACCGGAGGCA